rnacentral:tRNA from 1 species
GUGGUUGUAGCUCAGUCGGCAGAGCGCGACGUCGCCAACGUCGAGGUCCCGGGUUCGACUCCCGGUAGCCACU